rnacentral:rRNA from 1 species
CUGGCGGCGUGCCUAACACAUGCAAGUCAAACGGAACGAAAAGAGCUUGCUCUUGGCGUUUAGUGGCGGACGGGUGAGUAACACGUGAGUAACCUGCCUUUCAGAGGGGAAUAAUGUUUGGAAACGGACACUAAUACCGCAUAAUAUACAAUCAACGCAUGUUGAAUGUAUCAAAGGAGCAAUCCGCUGAAAGAUGGACUCGCGUCUGAUUAGCCAGUUGGCGGGGUAACGGCCCACCAAAGCGACGAUCAGUAGCCGGACUGAGAGGUUGAACGGCCACAUUGGGACUGAGACACGGCCCAGACUCCUACGGGAGGCAGCAGUGGGGGAUAUUGCACAAUGGGCGCAAGCCUGAUGCAGCAAACCGCCGCGUGCAGGAAGACGGUCUUCGGAUUGUAAACUGUUGUCCUCUGUGACGAUAAUGACGGUAGCAGAGGAGGAAGCCACGGCUAACUACGUGCCAGCCGCUGC